CUAGAUAUAGGUGCUUCAGGUGCUCGGCGGAAUCAUCCGCCGGCAAGAGGGAAGCCGGUGAAAAGCCGGCACUGCCCCCGCAACUGUAAGCGGCGCGCGAGGCCGAUCAUGCCACUGGGGCUGCCACCCCGGGAAGGCCGGUCAAGCGGGACCCGCCGCGAGUCAGGAGACCUGCCGGAAGCAACAGGAUUUGA
rnacentral:ncRNA from 22 species